rnacentral:rRNA from 1 species
AGUGAACGCUGGCGGUAGGCCUAACACAUGCAAGUCGAACGGCAGCACAGUAAGAGCUUGCUCUUACGGGUGGCGAGUGGCGGACGAGUGAGGAAUACAUCGGAAUCUACUUUUUCGUGGGGGAUAACGUAGGGAAACUUACGCUAAUACCGCAUACGACCUACGGGUGAAAGCAGGGGAUCUUCGGACCUUGCGCGAUUGGAUGAGCCGAUGUCGGAUUAGCUAGUUGGCGGGGUAAAGGCCCACCAAGGCGACGAUCCGUAGCUGGUCUGAGAGGAUGAUCAGCCACACUGGAACUGAGACACGGUCCAGACUCCUACGGGAGGCAGCAGUGGGGAAUAUUGGACAAUGGGCGCAAGCCUGAUCCAGCCAUACCGCGUGGGUGAAGAAGGCCUUCGGGUUGUAAAGCCCUUUUGUUGGGAAAGAAAAGCAGCAGGUUAAUACCCCGCUGUUCUGACGGUACCCAAAGAAUAAGCACCGGCUAACUUCGUG